CCUUACCUACUCUUGACAUCCAGAGAAGCCAGCGGAGACGCAGGUGUGCCUUCGGGAACUCUGAGACAGGUGCUGCAUGGCUGUCGUCAGCUCGUGUUGUGAAAUGUUGGGUUAAGUCCCGCAACGAGCGCAACCCUUAUCCUUGUUUGCCAGCGAGUAAUGUCGGGAACUCCAGGGAGACUGCCGGUGAUAAACCGGAGGAAGGUGGGGACGACGUCAAGUCAUCAUGGCCCUUACGACCAGGGCUACACACGUGCUACAAUGGGCUGUACAAAGGGUUGCGAUCUCGCGAGAGUCAGCUAAUCCCAUAAAACAGUUCGUAGUCCGGAUCGCAGUCUGCAACUCGACUGCGUGAAGUCGGAAUCGCUAGUAAUCGUAGAUCAGAAUGCUACGGUGAAUACGUUCCC
rnacentral:rRNA from 1 species